CCCAAGGACAAAGCCGCGACCGAUCAGGCUGUUGGUAGGGCAACGGCCUACCAAACCUAUAACCGGUACGGGCCGUGAGAGCGGAAGCCCGGAGAUGGAUACUGAGACAAGGAUCCAGGCCCUACGGGGCGCAGCAGUUGCGAAAACUCCACAAUGCACGAAAGUGUGAUGGGGCUACCCCGAGUGCCGUCCGCUGAGGAUGGCUUUUUUCUCAGUGUAAGGAACUGGGAGAAUAAAGGGGGGGCAAGUCUGGUGUCAGCCGCCGCGGUAAUACCAGCCCCCUGAGUGGUAUGGACGAUUAUUUGGCCUAAAGCGUCCGUAGCCGGCUCAGUAAGUCCUUCGUUAAAUCUAACGAUUCAAUCGUUAGACCGCGGAGGAUACUGCUAGGCUAGAGGAUGGGAGAGGUUGACGGUAGUCCUGGGGUAGGGGUGAAAUCCUAUAAUCCCAGGAGGACCACCAGUGGCGAAGGCGGUCGACUAGAACAUGCCUGACGGUGAUGGACGAAAGCUGGGGGAGCGAACCGGAUUAGACACCCGGGUAGUCCCAGCUGUAAACGAU
rnacentral:rRNA from 1 species